GAUGAACGCUGGCGGCGUGCCUAAUACAUGCAAGUCGAGCGAACGGACGAGAAGCUUGCUUCUCUGAUGUUAGCGGCGGACGGGUGAGUAACACGUGGAUAACCUACCUAUAAGACUGGGAUAACUUCGGGAAACCGGAGCUAAUACCGGAUAAUAUUUUGAACCGCAUGGUUAAAAAGUGAAAGACGGUCUUGCUGUCACUUAUAGAUGGAUCCGCGCUGCAUUAGCUAGUUGGUAAGGUAACGGCUUACCAAGGCAACGAUGCAUAGCCGACCUGAGAGGGUGAUCGGCCACACUGGAACUGAGACACGGUCCAGACUCCUACUGGAGGCAGCAGUAGGGAAUCUUCCGCAAUGGGCGAAAGCCUGACGGAGCAACGCCGCGUGAGUGAUGAAGGUCUUCGGAUCGUAAAACUCUGUUAUUAGGGAAGAACAUAUGUGUAAGUAACUGUGCACAUCUUGACGGUACCUAAUCAGAAAGCCACGGCUAACUACGUG
rnacentral:rRNA from 1 species